CCUACGGGAGGCAGCAGUGGGGAAUUUUGGACAAUGGGCGCAAGCCUGAUCCAGCAAUGCCGCGUGCAGGAUGAAGGCCUUCGGGUUGUAAACUGCUUUUGUACGGAACGAAAAAGUCUGCCCUAAUACGGUGGGCCCAUGACGGUACCGUAAGAAUAAGCACCGGCUAACUACGUGCCAGCAGCCGCGGUAAUACGUAGGGUGCGAGCGUUAAUCGGAAUUACUGGGCGUAAAGCGUGCGCAGGCGGUUAUAUAAGACAGAUGUGAAAUCCCCGGGCUCAACCUGGGACCUGCAUUUGUGACUGUAUAGCUAGAGUACGGUAGAGGGGGAUGGAACUCCGCGUGUAGCAGUGAAAUGCGUAGAUAUGCGGAGGAACACCGAUGGCGAAGGCAAUCCCCUGGACCUGUACUGACGCUCAUGCACGAAAGCGUGGGGAGCAAACAGGAUUAGAUACCCUGGUAGUCCACGCCCUAAACGAUGUCAACUGGUUGUUGGGUCUUCACUGACUCAGUAACGAAGCUAACGCGUGAAGUUGACCGCCUGGGGAGUACGGCCGCAAGGUUGAAACUCAAAAGUGUAAGUUGGACGNGNGAGAGAGACGACGACGACGACGGAGGGAGGAG
rnacentral:rRNA from 1 species